rnacentral:misc_RNA from 1 species
GAUGAAGAACGCAGCGAAAUGCGAUAAGUAAUGUGAAUUGCAGAAUUCAGUGAAUCAUCGAAUCUUUGAACGCACAUUGCGCCCCCUGGUAUUCCGGGGGGCAUGCCUGUUCGAGCGUCAUUUCACCACUCAAGCCUCGCUUGGUAUUGGGCAACGCGGUCCGCCGCGUGCCUCAAAUCGACCGGCUGGGUCUUCUGUCCCCUAAGCGUUGUGGGAACUAUUCGCUAAAGGGUGUUCGGGAGGCUACGCCGUAAAACAACCCCAUUUCUAAGGUUGACCUCGGAUCAGGUAGGGAUACCCGCUGAACUUAAGCAUAUCAAUAAGCGGAGA